rnacentral:rRNA from 1 species
UACGUAGGGGGCAAGCGUUGUCCGGAUUUAUUGGGCGUAAAGAGCGUGUAGGCGGCCUGGAAGGUCAGCUGUGAAAACUCGAGGCUCAACCUCGAGACGUCGGUUGAAACCACUUGGCUAGAGUCCGGAAGAGGAGAUGUGGAAUUCCCGGUGUAGCGGUGAAAUGCGCAGAUAUCGGGAAGAACACCCGUGGCGAAGGCGGCUCACUGGCCCGUUACCGACGCUCAGGCGCGACAGGCGUGGGGAGCAAACAGG